UCUGGUUUAGGAUUUCUCACUUCAUCUCAUGGUUUCUUUCUCUCGUGUCUACAAAACAAAGAAGAAGAUCCAUAACUCAUAAACAAGAAGGAACAGAAGUGAAAGGAAAUGAACACAUUUUUAAUCGCAAAUCUAACCGUUCUCCCAAAGCCAAAACCUUAAAUUAGAUGUUUUCAAACCCAAAACCUUACCAAAGGAGAAAACUUUCAUUGAAUCGUAUACAAUUUUCCCUCUCUCGAACAUAUUAGGGUUCUUUCAUCAUCCCUUUGAGUCAAAAAUGGCAGAAUCGCGGUUCAAGCAAUACACGUACAUCCCCCAAAACCCUCUACCCCUCUCCCCUCCUUCUAUAAUCCCAAAACCCAACCCCUUCGACAUGUACCGCGUCGAAAAUGACACCUUCGUAUUCCCAGCCAUCCACGUCGAAGACGAAAGCAUCUUCCCGGUCAUUGAGACGGCGUCUACCAACCAAAGUCCAAGAGAACCCGCGCCGCCUAUGACAAUCUCCUCACCCUCAUCCAGCAGUCCCUCCCCGGUCAGCCGCUCAGUACAGUUAGAUUCGUCGUCGAUAAGAUUCUCGAAAUUCUCAAAAACGAUGCCGUUGAUUACCAUGACAAGAGAAUCAAAGUUGAGAUGCUUCUUAUCCCUAUCCCUAAUUAUGUUUUUGAUCAUCUUGUUUCGGUUGGUAAGUUUAUAACUGAUUUCUAUGGGUUUGCUGCUGGUCAUGUUAACGACGGCGUUGUCGACGGUGUCCGGAGGUUAUUCAUUUGCAGCGAUAAAUAGAACAUUAUGAUGUAGUUACUUUCUGCAUUCAAGAAUUAUGUGAAUAGUGUGGUAGCUGUGAUGCACAUUGCUGCGUGAGUUUUAAUUGGAUUUCUAUGGGUAUGCUCCGUCGUCUUUGAUUCCUCACAAGCUUCGUUCUUUCUUCUUCUGAAGCUCUCCUUUUCACACAUGGAUCCCAAUCAGGUAAGUCAUGUUUUUCUCCCAUCAUUCUCAGAUCUGGAUUCGUACUCUUCAUCCGUGAUUUCCAUUUCAUUUCCUCUAUCGAUUCACAUAAGAUUCAUGUGAUUAGUAUAAUUUUCAUAUGCGUGGAGUCUAUAGUUGAAAACACCUUGGACAUUGAUAGAGAACACCUUGGAAUUCCUGAGGCUGAAUAUCAUGCCAUUGUUAGGAUGCGAUCUGCUGAGUUUGCUAGGAUUUGCAAAGAUCUUAGUAGCAACUAGCUAGCUCACACCACUAGAGAUUCUAUUUUACACAUGUGAGUUUCUUGUAUUUCUUCAUUCAUAACACUAUAUUGUUCAGUGCAUAUAGAUAUGGAUUCUGAUUUGGGUUUAGUCAAAAUUCUCAAAGUUAGUCAUGUUUCAUGAUCUUGUGUUGUCUGUAUAUCUCUCUAUGUUGUCUUUCUCCUCUAAUUUUAAUUUUUAUUAAUUAUUUGAUUUCGUUGGUUUCAACUCGACUCAGUGAGCAUAUUCAGAAUUUCAUUUGACUUAAUAUUUAAUACUUUCCCUUUAUGAUUGUGAAGGGGAUUUUCAAUAAUACCCUGUUUUUGUCAAAACACAAACUGGAAAUAAAAUUGGUCCUCAGGUGAGACCUGAUUUCAUCACAAAGCUUUAUAGAUUUACAUAAAGAAACAUAUGGAAGAUAAAAAUGAAAUUUCUGAGGUAGCUGUUACUACUACAUGUGGUUUCUCCAUGGAAAUGGCCGUUUGGUAUGAACUUUUUCUCAUGCAUUAAGAUGAUGUUUAAAUUCUAGUGUAUCAUAAUGUCAUAAUGUAUUAUAAUCUAUCUUUUCUAUAGCAUUUUCUUAUUAAAUAAUCCAUUCAUAGAGAACAAAAAGGUAUUCACACGAAACUCUAUUAAUUAUUGUAUAUUUAGUAUUUUGUGUUUUUCUACUCUUGUUUAGUUAAUUUUAAUGUUAAAGAGCUGGUUUAGGUUUAAGGUUAAACCUUAAAUAAUAAAGAUGUCUAGACAAUAGAAUAAAUGUAUUAGAUAAUGAAAACAAUAGUUAUUUUUGUUGUUGGUGAUAUUGCUCUUUAUAAGAUUUAUAAUGGAGGAAUAAAUGGAAUUCCUUCUACACCUCACUGUUUGUGAGAUCAACAUUUGUAUGAGAAAUUUGUAGUAGUUGAUGACAUGGAUGAGGGUAUGUAUGCUAUUUAAUAUGCAUGUGCUAACCUUUUAUUUUAUCUUAUGUUGAAUCUUGGUCAUAUGUUCCUGUUUUACUAUGUAAUUUUAUUAAGUUACUAUUGUUGCUCUCAUACGAGUAAUCAACCUAAUUAAGUUUCAGUUUAGAUUUUAACUAGAUAUUAAUUGAUUUAUUAAUCCACAUUUGUUAUCUGAUAGGUUUUCUUCAUUUUAAGCAGUAUCAGGUAUAUUCGUGUUGGCUCUCUAUGUAUUAGGUAUUAGGAAAAAUGUGUAAAAAUAUAUGAUGUUUCUUUCUAUUUAUUUGGUUGUGUAUGUUUUCUUGUUUAAAAACUGAAAUUAUUGUCAUAUCAAUCUUUAGGAAGAGAAAUAGAGAGGAUGAACAGGAUAUGAGCAUCUCAAUGAGCCACUUCACAUAUUGUUGACAGGAGGCUUAGGCAGGCUUAUGAAUUUAUAGAAGAAAUGAUAAGUUUUGUGGUAAGUUCAUUCACAAUGAGUAUUCAUCUUCUCAAAUAAGCAUUAGGUUGUGUAAGGUGUCUUAUGAACUAGUCUACUUUGCUUUGUCUUAAAACUUGUAUUAAGAUACUGAUUACUGAAUGUCUAUACAUAUUUAGAAGAUUUAGAGCUCCUAAUAAAAGGUGAUGAAACAAAUGUUUAAUGGUUUCAAGGUAUGUUGCUCAAUUCUCUAAAUAUGAGUAAUGUCAUUUGAUUCUUUGAAGUGAGAUACAAAACUUCCCAACCUAUAUUUUAAUAGACAAAACUUAUGUACAGUUCCAUCUUAGUUGUUUUCUCCUUGUUAGAGCAUAAUGGAAAAGGGUGUAAGGUGGUUUUUUCUUAUUUGAUAUUUUGCAAUUGUUUUCUCCUUGUGGAUUUAUUUCAUUGAGUUUAUGUUAGUUUUGAACUGUCCUGCUUUGUAUAUAUCACAUAUUAUAUUAUUUGUUUGAAUAUGAUUACCUCGUGUAUUUAUAAUAAAAGUGUUGGACUAAACUUUUCUAAUUGAAAUUAAAGGCAUUUUGUAGGCAGGAGAUGGAAGAGGGGCCAUGUCUGUACUUUCAUAUAAAUGAAAAACUGUAACUAGCUGGUUCCACUAACAAUGUUCCAGUUUGACCAACAUAUUUUUCAAGCUUAAAAUUCAAUAUUGAAGUUUAUCUUUUUAAUUUAAUUUAGAAUAUUUUUUCAACAAAAUAUUUAGUGUGUUUUUGCUGAAACUACAUGGGCAGGUGCUAUAUAUUAUUUGAUGUUAUACACGCUUGCCAAUCAUACAUAUCUUCAGUCCCUUACCCUUAGGCUUGAGGAAAUGAGAGUCAAAAGGCGGGAUUCAGAACAAUGGAUGCAUCAUCGCUUGCUCUGAAAAGAGCUUAGAGAGCGUGUGAGACGGUAUGAUUAAUAUAAGUGGUUGGCAACAUGUGGAGUAGAUGAAGAUAUUUUAGUUCAGAGCCUACCAAAGGAUCUUCGAAGAGAUAUUAAGCGUCAUCUCUGUUUGGCUUUAGUGAGGAGGGUAUGCUGUCACAACCCUUAAAAUUAGUGAAACACCAAAACACUAUCUGAAAUGUGUGAUGGAUCAAGAUAUUAUAUAGGUGCAGAUGUAAAAGAUAGAGCUAACAAGUUCAAUAUUGUUGUUGUUUUUUAGAAAUUCUCGAAGAUAGUAAUAUGUACUUUUAACAUCAAUUUAGCAUUUUAGAGUUUUCAAGUUGUUGUAUAUAUCAUCAAUUCUAUCUAUGUAGAUUUUUUUUAUAUGUAAAUUUGGUGAUAUAUAUAUAUAUAUAUAGAAUUUCAAGUUGUUGUUUUAUAUAUUAAAGCUACCAAAUUUGGUGCAAAAUAUGGUGAAAAUAAUUAUUAUAUUAUAAAAAUUUCGUGCACAUUAGACAGCGCUUAAAGAGAAAAGCAUUGCCUGAA